rnacentral:lncRNA from 1 species
GAUGGCCCACUUUGGUCGACAUCACAGCUUUUGUCAGCCUCCACUCGCCUCUUCCCCAUUACUUAGAAAAAGUGAGCCACCAGUUUAGGUAUAAGAUACUAUCAUUACUGUCUGGACAAUUAGACAUCGAAUCCUUAAUCAGAGGAUAUCUUAUUGCAUUCUGAGCGGCCAUCUAAGUGAAGAUUGGAGUGUUUCCAGCAACGAUGGAUAAUGAGCUCUUGUGGGUUGCAAGGCCUACAUUCAAUCUUCCAGUUCGGCCUGAGAAUGGAGCCAUUCUCUUCCGUACGAAGG